rnacentral:rRNA from 1 species
UACGUAGGUGGCAAGCGUUGUCCGGAUUUACUGGGCGUAAAGGGAGCGUAGGCGGAUUUUUAAGUGAGAUGUGAAAUACCCGGGCUUAACUUGGGUGCUGCAUUUCAAACUGGAAGUCUAGAGUGCAGGAGAGGAGAAUGGAAUUCCUAGUGUAGCGGUGAAAUGCGUAGAGAUUAGGAAGAACACCAGUGGCGAAGGCGAUUCUCUGGACUGUAACUGACGCUGAGGCUCGAAAGCGUGGGGGGCAAACAGGAUUAGAUACCCCCGUAGUCCCU